AGAACGAACGCUGGCGGCAUGCCUAAUACAUGCAAGUCGAACGAGGGCUUCGGCCUUAGUGGCGCACGGGUGCGUAACGCGUGGGAAUCUGCCCCUUGGUUCGGAAUAACAGUUGGAAACGACUGCUAAUACCGGAUGAUGACGAAAGUCCAAAGAUUUAUCGCCAAGGGAUGAGCCCGCGUAGGAUUAGCUAGUUGGUGAGGUAAAGGCUCACCAAGGCGACGAUCCUUAGCUGGUCUGAGAGGAUGGUCAGCCACACUGGGACUGAGACACGGCCCAGACUCCUACGGGAGGCAGCAGUAGGGAAUCUGCGCAAUGGGCGAAAGCCUGACGCAGCCAUGCCGCGUGAAUGAUGAAGGUCUUAGGAUUGUAAAAUUCUUUCGACCGGGACGAUAAUGACGGUACCCGGAGAAGAAGCCCGGCUAACUUCGUAGCCAGCAGCCGC
rnacentral:rRNA from 1 species